UUCCUUCCAUCUCCAUCACCUUGAGCAUCUUCUGGGCAGCUGAGUUGGCCGCAGAUGGGAAGGAA
ensembl:miRNA